CCUACGGGAGGCAGCAGUGAGGAAUAUUGGUCAAUGGGCGCGAGCCUGAACCAGCCAAGUAGCGUGAAGGAUGACUGCCCUACGGGUUGUAAACUUCUUUUAUAAAGGAAUAAAGUGAGGCACGUGUGCCUUUUUGUAUGGACUUUAUGAAUAAAGAUCGGCUAACUCCAUUCCAGCAGACGCGGUAAUACGGAGGAUCCGAGCGUUAUCCGGAUUUAUUGGGUUUAAAGGGAGCGUAGAUGGGUUGUUAAGUCAGUUGUGAAAGUUUGCGGCUUAACCGUAAAAUUGCAAUUGAUACUGGCAGUCUUGAGUACAGUUGAGGUAGGCGGAAUUCGUGGUGUAGCGGUGAAAUGCUUAGAGAUCACGAAGAACUCCGAUGGCGAAGGCAGCUUACUAAACUGCCACUGACAUUGAUGCUCGAAAGUGUGGGUAUCAAACAGGAUUAGAUACCCCAGUAGUC
rnacentral:rRNA from 1 species